CACACCGCCCGUCACACCAUGGGAGUUUGUUGCACCAGAAGCAGGUAGCUUAACCUUCGGGAGGGCGCUUGCCACGGUGUGGCCGAUGACGUGGGGUG
rnacentral:rRNA from 1 species